rnacentral:rRNA from 1 species
UGUAAACUUUCGUACCGUCAUUCAUUGAUACGGUUACCAGCGUAGGAUUUGUCACAUUCCAAAAUUUAGCUUCAGUUUCUCCUCUUGCCAAGUCAAUCGUCUUGAUUUUCUCUUCACCAUCAAAAGUAGCAGUUAAAGACACCGUAGCAGGACCUGUUACUUUUAUUGUACCAUCCGGAGAGUCCGAAGUCACCGCACGACUAUUUGCAGUCGGAGACACAAUCUUGAUGCUGACUGCACCAUUACCUUGAGCCAAAGCAUUUUCAGCUUCAUCUUCAUUCCCACAUGCCGCGAAUGCCAAUCCGACCAAACCCAGCAUAAAAAAUCUGUUUAACUUCAUAAUUUAAAGUAUUAGUAAAAAAUAUUCGUUUUAUGUAUCUGUUCUGUCUUUCUUACAAGUCGGCCACUACGCCUGCCACCUGCUCCAGGUUGGUGCGUGCUUCCCGGCUUCCUGCCUGCACUGCUUGCUCCAGCACCGCCUUUGCACGGUCGUACUGCUUCUGCUUGGCAUACGCCACACCCAGCGCGUUCAGCACCCUGCCGUCCUCUUUCACCUCCGAAGCCUCCAGCAUCGCGAUAGCUCCCUGCACGUCUCUGCCCUCCAUCUUCAGGCAGGCGGCAUUCACCACAGCGGCGGCGUUCUUGGGAUAAGUAGCGGCAGCUAUGCGCAGCGCUUCUUCAUAGUCGGCAGUACCCUUGCCAUAAGACUCCGCCACCGUGUAGAUUUCCUCCACGCUCAGCAGGUCCGGGCGGGUCUUUAUCUGCUUCUUUGCCUCCUCCAGGUUGAAGCUACGCACGCUGUACUCUAUCUUGUAUUCGUUGCGGCGCAGCGGGCCGUACAUCUCGUUCAGCAGGCGGGUAUAGACAUCCGGUGAUACGGACUCGCGGAUACGCUUCUCGCAGGCGUCCUUGUCGCCCUCGCACUCGUCGAUAAGCCUCAGCACCUUGUCGAUGUCCAGCAACUGCGGGUGCUUCUCCACUUCGCGGCGCAGGCCUUCCCAGUCCUCACCCAUGCCCGCGACGUGCCACAGAGAAGCAUCCAUGUGGGUAUCUUUCCGGGCAUAUUCGGCCAGGGCGUUUGCACGCGAUUCGGACAGCUUCUGAUUGAAAGCCACCGAGCCUUCGGGCGAGGCGUAGCCGGUGAUGUAGAUGCCCGUAAUGGUCAGGUCGGGGUUGGUUUUUACCACGUUGAUGGAGCCUGUCACCGUUUCCAGCUCCGCGCGGUUGUCCUUGUAGCGCGGGUCCACAUCCGACUUUCCCUGGCGGAAUUGCAGGCGUGCCACGCGUACCUCGUUGCGCACCUUCACCGCUUCACGCUCCGGUGUAACGAAAGGCGUGACAUACCGCGGGGUGAAAAGCUUUAUGAAAGGUGCCUUUACCGUCGAUUCUUCCGUGGCCGCCGUGCAGUCCAGGCAGCCCGUCAUCCGCUCGCGCAGCACUAGGCGGCUGUCCACCAUCCAGGGCUCAUAGGCAAGCUUGGCGAUAUAUUCCACCCGGCUCUCACGCCCGGAGCGGAGUACCGUGUAGGCAUUGUCCGUGGCAGGAGAGGCUCCUGUCAGCGCCUUCUCGCGGCGGUGCACGCGGCUGCGCGUCUUGCCGUCCACCACUACGGGGGCGAGCACGGCUUCGUGCGUGCCGUCGGCAGAGACCACUGCCGGAUGCAGGCACACGCUCUUCUGAUUACCCACACGCAGGCCGGUCAAGUCCAGCGUCAUGCGCAGGCUCACCUCGCUACCUUGUUUCUUCACUUCUUCGUUCACCACCUUCACAUCGAUAAGGUUGCCCUCCUGCGCAUAUCCUCCUAAGGAGGUGCACAGCAGCAGGCCCGUGACAUAUAGCAUUCGUUUCAUUUCCAUGUCCUCCUUCUGUUUACUUGAUUACAUAAAUAAGGGAGAUGGCGGCUUUCGUCACCCCCAGAUAAUUCUUGUCUCCCUUGCCUUUCCAUUCGCCACAGCGUGGGCAGUCGUAGCGGUCGUAGUGCGGAAUUGUAGUACUGGUGAAGAUGCCAGUUACCCGCAACUAGACGGAAAGACCCCAUGGAGCUUUACUGUAGCCUAAUACUGAAGAUCGGUAAUGCAUGUACAGGAUAGGUGGGAGCCAGCGAAACCCGGGCGUCAGCUCGGAUGGAGGCAACCUUGGAAUACCACCCUUGUAUUGCUGGUUUUCUAACCUGCGGCCAUGAAUCUGGUCGGGGGACACUGUUAGGUGGGCAGUUUGACUGGGGCGGUCGCCUCCAAAAGCGUAACGGAGGCGCUCAAAGGUUGGCUCAGCACGGACGGAAAUCGUGCAUAGAGUGCAAACGCAUAAGCCAACUUGACUGCGAGACCGACGGGUCGAGCAGGUACGAAAGUAGGAGUUAGUGAUCCGGUGGUAUGUGAGUGGAAAUGCCAUCGCUCAACGGAUAAAAGCUACCCUGGGGAUAACAGGCUGAUCUCCCCCAAGCGUCCACAGCGACGGGGAGGUUUGGCACCUCGAUGUCGGCUCGUCACAUCCUGGGGCUGUAUUCGGUCCCAAGGGUUCGGCUGUUCGCCGAUUAAAGUGGCACGCGAGCUGGGUUCAGAACGUCGUGAGACAGUUCGGUCCCUAUCUGUUGCGGGCGUAAGAGAUUUGAAGGGAGCUGUCCUUAGUACGAGAGGACCGGGAUGGACAGACCUCUGGUGCACCAGUUGUCGUGCCAACGGCACAGCUGGGUAGCUACGUCUGGACGAGAUAAACGCUGAAAGCAUCUAAGUGUGAAACUCCCCCUAAGAUAAGAUCUCCCAUCCAUUAGGAGUAAGGGACGACAGAGACUAUGUCGUUGAUAGGUCGGAAGUGUAAGUGCAGUAAUGCAUUGAGCUGACCGAUACUAAUAACCCGAGGGCUUGACCU